AUUGAACGCUGGCGGCAUGCCUUACACAUGCAAGUCGGACGGUAACAGGUCUUCGGAUGCUGACGAGUGGCGAACGGGUGAGUAAUACAUCGGAACGUGCCUAGUAGUGGGGGAUAACUACUCGAAAGAGUGGCUAAUACCGCAUGAGAUCUACGGAUGAAAGCAGGGGAUCGCAAGACCUUGUGCUACUAGAGCGGCCGAUGGCAGAUUAGGUAGUUGGUGGGAUAAAAGCUUACCACGCCGACGAUCUGUAGCUGGUCUGAGAGGACGAUCAGCCACACUGGGACUGAGACACGGCCCAGACUCCUACGGGAGGCAGCAGUGGUGAAUUUUGGACAAUGGGCGCAAGCCUGAUCCAGCAAUGCCGCGUGCAGGAUGAAGGCCUUCGGGUUGUAAACUGCUUUUGUACGGAACGAAAAGCCCCGGGUUAAUACCCUGGGGUCAUGACGGUACCGUAAGAAUAAGCACCGGCUAACUACGUGCCAGCCGCCGCGGUAA
rnacentral:rRNA from 1 species